rnacentral:rRNA from 1 species
AGCGAGCGCUGGCGGCAGGCCUAACACAUGCAAGUCGAACGAAGUCUUCGGACUUAGUGGCGGACGGGUGAGUAACACGUGGGAACGUACCUUUUGGUUCGGAACAACUCAGGGAAACUUGAGCUAAUACCGGAUGAGCCCUUAGGGGGAAAGAUUUAUCGCCGAAAGAGCGGCCCGCGUUAGAUUAGCUAGUUGGUGAGGUAAAGGCUCACCAAGGCUACGAUCUAUAGCUGGUCUGAGAGGAUGAUCAGCCACACUGGGACUGAGACACGGCCCAGACUCCUACGGGAGGCAGCAGUGGGGAAUCUUGCGCAAUGGGCGAAAGCCUGACGCAGCCAUGCCGCGUGAAUGAUGAAGGUCUUAGGAUUGUAAAAUUCUUUCACCGGGGACGAUAAUGACGGUACCCGGAGAAGAAGCCCCGGCUAACUUCGUGCCAGCCGCCGCAGUAAUAC